rnacentral:rRNA from 1 species
GAUGAACGCUGGCGGCGUGCCUAAUACAUGCAAGUCGAGCGAACAGACGAGGAGCUUGCUCCUCUGACGUUAGCGGCGGACGGGUGAGUAACACGUGGAUAACCUACCUAUAAGACUGGGAUAACUUCGGGAAACCGGAGCUAAUACCGGAUAAUAUAUUGAACCGCAUGGUUCAAUAGUGAAAGACGGUUUUGCUGUCACUUAUAGAUGGAUCCGCGCCGCAUUAGCUAGUUGGUAAGGUAACGGCUUACCAAGGCAACGAUGCGUAGCCGACCUGAGAGGGUGAUCGGCCACACUGGAACUGAGACACGGUCCAGACUCCUACGGGAGGAAGCAGUAGGGAAUCUUGCGCAAUGGGCGAAAGCCUGACGGAGCAACGCCGCGUGAGUGAUGAAGGUCUUCGGAUCGUAAAACUCUGUUAUUAGGGAAGAACAAAUGUGUAAGUAACUAUGCACGUCUUGACGGUACCUAAUCAGAAAGCCACGGCUAACUACGUG